GACGAACUCUGGCGGCGUGCUUAACACAUGCAAGUCGAACGCUGACGCACCGCUCUUGUCGGUGGGCUGAGUGGCGAACGGGUGAGUAACACGUGAGUAACCUGCCGCCUCCUUUGGGGUAACGCCCGGAAAUGGGUGCUAAUACUGGUUAUUCACUGCUCUUCGCAUGUGGGCUGGUGGUAAGGGUUCUUCUUGCUGUGGAUGGGCCCGCGGCCUAUCCGCUUGUUGGGGGGGUGAUGGCCUACCAAGGCUUUGACGGGUAGCCGGCCGGAGAGGGUGACCGGUGACAUUGGGACUGCGAUAGGGCCCAGAGUGCUACGGGAGGCAGAGGUGGGGAAUAUUGCACAAGGGGCGCAAGCCUGAUGCAGCGAGGCCGCGUGAGGGAUGGAGGCCUUCGGGUUGUGAACCUCUUUCGCUAAUGGUCAAGCCGCAACAAUGGUUGUGGUGAGGGUAGUGGGUAAAGAAGCGCCGGCUGACUACGUG
rnacentral:rRNA from 1 species